ACAUCCGGGGUUCCGAAUCCACGACACAAACAUUUACUCCAACGGCAACAAACUUCAGAGAGACUUUUCUAUUUUCAACUGGAGCAGUUGUCUUCCGACAUCUCUCACCUCUCAAACCCAGCUUCUGUGGGCCGCUGUAAUCUAAAUUCUCCGUCGAGAUGAUGGCGUGGGGACACUAAUCGUGCUGCAAAGUUGCCAGUUCAGUAUUGAUUCAGGGUUAGCGACCCUGAGGCCCUGGCUGACUACUGACCCGCUCCACUAACCCAACUGGAGAAGGAGGAAGUAGAGAAACACUCCAGGUUGACUUCCACGGAGUCAGCAAAUGCUGCUGCUGGAGGCAACCUGGAGAGAUCUCGCUCCAGCUGGAGCAGAUGACCUCUAGUUCUCUGCCAAAUAGUGACGAUCCCCGUGCACCUGGUCCCUCUCGUGGUGGAGGAAUUUGGAGGAGGAGAGGUGGUGGAGUAUUGAGCUUUCAAAAUUAAACUCCGAUAAUUAUCGAUAAAUGGAGGCUGGCGAACAUAUUUUUUUCUCUUUAUUUUCUCGUUUCUCCAUCCAAUGAUGUUAGUUCUCGUGUGAAUUCUUGAUUUAUGGUUUUCUUGAUUUAUGGUUUACGCCCGUCUCGUCUGGCGUUUGUUUACCAGGUUCUUCUACACAGCGCUCAACCACGCUAUCCACCAUUUUGGUUUACUUGUUUAAAUGUAUGUAUGUAGAAACUGCCAUUUUCAGGACAGUUUCUGCUGAUGGAAAUUUACCUUCCAAAUUUUGCCAGCUGGGAGGAGAUUUGCACUGCUGCCCCUCCACCGUCUGUUGACUACAAUGCGUUGGUCCUCAGGAAUAAAUCUACUUAUAGUAGUUAGACCUGUGUUCCCUCAUUGCUCAAUAUGGAAAUUACU
rnacentral:sRNA from 1 species